UACGAAGGGGGCAAGCGUUGUUCGGAAUUACUGGGCGUAAAGCGCGCGUAGGCGGCUUUGCAAGUCGGGUGUGAAAUCCCCAGGCUCAACCUGGGAACUGCAUUCGAGACUGCAUUGCUAGAGUAUGGGAGAGGGAAGUGGAAUUUCCGGUGUAGCGGUGAAAUGCGUAGAUAUCGGAAGGAACAUCAGUGGCGAAAGCGACUUCCUGGACCAAUACUGACGCUCAUGUGCGAAAGCGUGGGGAGCAAACAGG
rnacentral:rRNA from 1 species